GGGGAAUGCGUGUAGGCAGAGAAAUGGCGGUCAGGGAGGAGCACAGAGCGGCUGUCUAAGAUAAUGGUUCAUAGCCAUGCACCUCUAGUGUCUCAAGAUCCAAAAAGAGAUGAGCGUACAUAAGAUCCUUGGACUUGAAAACAGGUGAACCACAGGCAUUUGACGCUCCACUCACUCUCUGCCAGCUCAUUCCCACUCGGCUUCACAUCGACUGAGCAGUAUUAACAUCUACCUGCCUGCAACCUCCAUCUCCCUCUCUCUAAACCUCUCUUUAUUUGGGAAAUAGUUGGAUGAUUAAUGAGAUAAUGAAUGUGAGGAGAACUCCCUGGAGGAAAGACAUUUCACAAACAUGAAGUGAAGACUCUGGCUGACUCACUGAUUUCAGCAGCUCAGAGGAAAUCUGUGGACACCUGGAAACUGAAAAGGAAAAAUUGAUUUUCUUUCACCUUCCCACGAAUCUGAAUGUCACUUCAGAAGCUCCCAAGAUUUAAUUGAUCUGAGACAACUUCACAGCAACUCCACCCCCUGUUGAAUGAUUAAGAAUAUUAAUAAGGUUGAGGGCGCUGGCAACACUGAGAGGUGGCUUGGAAGCAUCAUUGAAGACUGAACUAUAUAAAACUGCCAAUAUUUGUGUCUUUUUUGAACUGUAAUGAAGGCAGUUUUAUAAGAUUCAGAUUAAUAUUAGCUACUGCCAGAGAAAUGGAAGUUUGAAGCUUGUAUUGAUGAAAUGAAUUCUGAUUCCCCAUCAAGAGUCUUUGUCCUUAUAACUAAUGAAUUAGUAAAAUAAUUUAUUUUUUCAUUAACAGAACAUUUGUUGUAUAUCUAUUCUUCAGUGCUUAAUUACCCAGUAGGCAGAUCAGGCAUGCAUGUGGGGACCCAUAAAAUAAGGCAUUGUGUUUUCUGUAAUUUAGUUCAAUAUCAUUCAGCAUAGAAAGUAUGACACAUAUGUGUGUGUUUAGUUAGUUUAACUUACCUCCAGGGGCACCUUGCUAAUAUUUGAAGAACCCUAAUCAGAAAUACACACUCUAGGGGAGAUUAGUUAGCAUUUGAAAGACUCUAAUCAGGUAGCUACUCUAAAUGUUUAACUCUCAGCAAUCACAAUUAGCACUAGAGGGUUUAUUAACCAGCCUGAGGGAUGCUAGUAAUAAUUUUAAAUUAGUGAAAUAAGUACUAUUCAAGAUAAGUAUAUUGGUUAGAAAUAGGGCACAAGCACCACUGCCUUAGCAUGAACAGAAUACAAGAAUCUAGGGUGCUUCUGACCCAGGUCUGUUUCCCAUUAGAAGAUUGUCUGAAUUCUGCUACAAGGCUACAAUCGCGUUUGCAUUGAGUCUUUCAUGAAAACGAUUGAAUUUGUUUUCAGAAAAAAAGCAUUCUGACAGCAGUGCAGAGGAUGCACUGGGGUGUUCAGGAGCUGGAGAGAGAGUGAAGAUAGUGAGACCAGUUAGGAGGCUCUGAUAGUAGCCCAAUGAAGAAGCUCUGAACUAAAGUUGUGGCAGUGUGAGUGCAUGGAGUAGAGAGGAUAGAUUGGAAAGGUUUACAAGAGAAAAAGAAAUGGAUUUGAUGAAUAACUGGACAUGGAAGAAGGGUAUGUCGGUGAAAAGAAAGACAUAAAGACAGCUUCCAGGGUUCUGAUUUUCACAGUUCCAUUUACCAAAAUAGAAAACCAAAGAUAAAAAAGAAGUUCAGGGCCAGUGAAAAAUCAGCUACUUUUGAAUAAGUUAAUGUGAGAUGUCUGCAGGACACCAAGUGGAGUGAUCCAACAGGUAGAUAUUUAUACACACAUGUACAGAAGUACAUAUCUGCUAUCUGGGAUUCAGGAAGGAGACCUGGGCUGGAAAUAGAUAUCUAAUGUGUUUAAUAAACAUGUAUUAGUCAUUUACUAUACUCCAGACCAAUAUUAGUGGUGAUCCUUGCCUUCAUGAUGAUUUCAGUAUUUGGCAGACACCAAGUAAGGGGGACAUUUGAAGUCUUGAGAAUGAGGUCACCCAGGGAAAAUGUAGAGUUAAAAGUGCAGAAGCAGGAUCCUUUGGACAAUUAAUAUUUAAGAUGCAAGAGAAAAAAGGAUGAAUGAUAUAAAUGGUAUAUGAAUUGAAAACAAGAAGGAUUGGCCAAAUAAAUAGGAGGAAAAUGAGAAGAGAAUGGUACUAAGGAAGUCAAGAAAUAUAAAAGUUUCAUCUUUUAUAUGAAAGAUGAGGCCGGGCG
rnacentral:lncRNA from 1 species